rnacentral:lncRNA from 10 species
GGUGGAGCUUCUCUGAGGGAAAUGGAAAUCACAGCUGACAUCUACCCUUGGUGAAGGCUAGGUCAAUCCUGGGACAGGAAAUCAAGACUGUGGAGGUGGGCAAGGAUUGCAGGGAGUACGUCUUCCUCUGUGGAGGUGGAGGUUGGUCUUAAGCCUUUCUUUAGGAGACACACUGUUGGGUAUUUUCCCUGGAGAGAAGAAAGACGAUUCCUUCAAGAUGGUGGCCAGCUGAGAGAAAGUCAGGAAGAGCUUGCUCAGGACCUGCUGGGCCCAGCAGCUCUGAACAUCACACAACAAUGCUGGCUGAAGCAUGGGCUUUGGAAUCAGACAGAAUCUGGAUUCACCACUUAUUGAUCAGAUAAGGGAGCAGAAGUGGAUCCCAUGGAAAAAAACAAAGGGCAUUUAGGCAGAAGGCACAUCAUAUAGAAGAGCCAGGAUGGCAGAAGGAACAGAGAAGGAGGCACUGCAUGGGUAACUGGAAGUGUGGCAGGAAGAGGAGAGCAAACAAGUGACAACAGAUUUGCAGCUCUUGAUCAAAGGCAGCUCAAAUAAGAUAAAUCACUACAUAGAGCAUUUUUAAUGAAAAGGGCUUUGCUGUACAUCAUUCUUUUCUUAUUUUUACCCUAAAGGGACCAUACCAAAAGUUGCUAGAGGUAUUCCCAGGCAAAGGAGGCAGCAUAUUGAGUGGGAAGACAUUGUGAGGCCGAGCACCUGAAUGGAAGCUGCCAACCAGCCCGCCUCCCUGCCUCCCACCCUUCCUAAAGUUAUUCUCUAGUAAAUAGCCCUCCCACCUGGAUUGGCACCUAUUGAAGGGUGACUGAUUAUCAGAAACAACCCAGCAUGGGACCUCUACUUACAUAACUACAGAAAAGGAGAAAAGAAACUGAUCAAACACAAAUAUAAACAACAACUUUCCAAAAAUGUCUAUCUCACCAAACAAGCAAAUUUCACUUUGCAAUGGACAUCAUCAACUAAGUAGAAGGAAAUGUAUGCUUUUGAAGAAAGAUUUCAAAAAAGGAAGUUUAAAAAGAAAGAAUAAGGAAGAGAAAGUAGGGCAAGAUAGCGGAUAGUGAGCAAGAAAAGUUCAGGAGAAAAGUUGAAGAAAGAAAUAAACCCAUCAAAUGUUCAAAAUAGCAAAAUAUUAGAAUAGACACUAAUUGAAAAACAAAGACAUGGAGGACUGGCUUGAAACAAAAACAUACGAAUAAAAAAUAUUAUCAAAUUAUGAGAUAAAAGUCAUUAGACAGUAAAUUACUGGUACGCCAGUAGAAGACAGACUAAAGACAUCAAAUUUUGAAUCAGAGUUAGGAAAAAGUAAGAACAGGACAAUUAGAACAAAAAAAUUCAAAAAUACCUGAAAAGAAAAUUACCAUGAAAUAAAUAACAGAAAUCUAGAAUUUAUACAGAUUAAAAUGGCAUAUUAUAGCUCAGAAAAAAUAGUGAUACAGAAAAACCAGCUCUAAGAUACAGCCUAAUGAAGUUUUCAGACUUCAAGAAUAAUAAAAGAAUUCAGUGAAAUUCAGCAUUCCUCAUCUCCCACACACAAAUAUUCACCUAUGGGGAAAACUGAUGAUUCCUCCAUAUUUAGUACUAGAAAAUAAGGAGUGACUCAGAUUUGCUUUCAAGUGUAAAGAGAGCAGAUAGAAUUUUUCAAGUAUGCAAGAGAUCAGGAACAAAACGCCUACGUGUCCUUCUGUAUAAACUAGGUAUAACUAAAUGGUGGUUCAAAGUUGAUAUAAAAUAAUCAAUAUAUAAAAUAAGCAGAAAAAUACAGAAAAGAUUUCAUUUUUAUUUAUAUUAAGAAAUAUAUCUAGAAAUAAACUUAAAAAGAAAAUGUGGAAGACAUAUGAAAAAAACCUACAGGAAGAAAUCUUUGCUGAAAACCAAUAAAAGCUUUAUAUAAAGAAAAAGUUAUAUUUUUACAGAUACAUUCCCUAUUUUAAGGAUCAUAAUGCUUCCUAAAUUAAUGUAUAACUACAAUUUUAUUACAAUCAAAAUACUAACAGGCAUUUUUUUAGAACUUGCAAGCUGAUCUUAACAUACAAAAGAAAAAUUUAACAUGGAGAUAUAGCCAGAAAAUUUGGUUAAAAAAAGAAGCACAAAAAAGGGGGGAAUGGCUCUAAAUUACUAAAAUGUCUCCAGUAAUUUAUAAAAUUUGAUGCUGUCACAAGUGUAGAUAAGCAGUUCAGUGGAAUGGAAUAAAGAGUCUAGAAGCAGACACAAACACACUUGUAAAGGAAGCCCAUUAAUGGAGUUUAGAUGACUGACUGGCUAUGUAGAAAACGUAGCGCCGAAUUCCUCUUCCUACCUCCUUUCUUCCACCGAAAAUAAAUUCCUGAUUGGUCAAAGAUUUAAGUUUCAAAAAUGAAACUAUGAAGUAACUAGGGGAGAAGAUGAAAUAUUUAAAAUAUAAUCUGGCAGCAGUGACAUUCUAAGUAUGACAUGAAAACCCAAAUCUAUGAAUUUCACUUAAUAAAAAAUUUAAACUUUCACAUGGCAAAAUCCACUAUAAAUAGACUCAGAAGACAAAUGACGAAUCAGGAGGAAUAUUUACAGCACAGAUCACUGGCAAAAG